rnacentral:rRNA from 1 species
CCUACGGGAGGCAGCAGUGGGGAAUAUUGCACAAUGGGGGAAACCCUGAUGCAGCGACGCCGCGUGAGUGAAGAAGUAAUUCGUUAUGUAAAGCUCUAUCAGCAGGGAAGAAAAUGACGGUACCUGAGUAAGAAGCCCCGGCUAACUACGUGCCAGCAUCCGCGGUAAUAAGUAGGGGGCAAGCGUUAUCCGGAUUUACUGGGUGUAAAGGGAGCGUAGACGGCAGUGCAAGUCUGGAGGGAAAGGCGGGGGCUCAACCCCCGGAAUGCUCUGGAAACUGUACGGCUGGAGUGCAGGAGAGGUAAGUGGAAUUCCUAGUGUAGCGGUGAAAUGCGUAGAUAUUAGGAGGAACACCAGUGGCGAAGGCAGCUUACUGGAGUGUAACUGACGUUGAGGCUCGAAAGCGUGGGGAGCAAACAGGAUUAGAUACCCUUGUAGUC